rnacentral:rRNA from 1 species
AUUGAACGCUGGCGGCAUGCCUUACACAUGCAAGUCGAACGGUAACAGGUCUUCGGAUGCUGACGAGUGGCGAACGGGUGAGUAAUACAUCGGAACGUGCCUAGUAGUGGUGGAUAACUACUCGAAAGAGUGGCUAAUACCGCAUGAGAUCUACGGAUGAAAGCAGGGGAUCGCAAGACCUUGUGCUACUAGAGCGGCCGAUGGCAGAUUAGGUAGUUGGUGGGAUAAAAGCUUACCAAGCCGACGAUCUGUAGCUGGUCUGAGAGGACGAUCAGCCACACUAGGACUGAGACACGGCGCAGACUCCUACGGGAGGCAGCAGUGGGGAAUUUUGGACAAUGGGCGCAAGCCUGAUUCAGCAAUGCCGCGUGCAGGAUGAAGGCCUUCGGGUUGUAAACUGCUUUUGUACGGAACGAAAAGCCCUGGGUUAAUACCCUGGGGUCAUGACGGUACCGUAAGAAUAAGCACCGGCUAACUACGUGCCAGCCGCCGCCGUAA